AAGACAAGUAAUAAAUUAGGCAGUUUUAUUCAUUUUAGGAUAUUUCAUAAAUGCAAAUGAAAAAGAAGAAAAAAAAGAAUUUAAUUAAUGAAAUAAGAACAUUUUCAAAUGGAUACUUUUCUUUUAAUAAUAUAGAUUUUUAAUAAUAUAGAUGGGUGUGAACUAUGACCUUCUGUAAGAAAAUCUUCCUUUUGGAGACUACGCCGUCUCUGGAAACUUCUUGAACCCUAACUUCUGCUUUUGUUCAUCUUUCCUACUAAAAAAUUCUGAAAACAUUACAGAGUUACACCGAAUCGAAGUGUCGUUUUAAACGCACUCAUUAAUCAUUGUUCUCCACUCCUCACGCAAUCUAUCAUUGAAUGCAUCUACCAUCCUUUCUGUGAAUCUUGGAGAUUCCUCAACUAUAAAAAUGAACCAAAAGAGAAUAACCUCCGUCAAAAAGCUUUGACACUCAAUUGUCUACGUGAGAUAACAAUGACUACAGUAACAUAUACAUGAACGCAAGCGUUUAAAUCACAAGCCAAGGACCCCAAAACCGAAUUACUCAUUCAAGGUAUCUUUUCCUAUCUACACAUACACUACAUCGGAUUUUUCAAUUGAUCUCCUCUUCAGUUCAUCUUCACGGUCUUCUAAACAUGUAACAUUCAGACUAUAUAUUAGGUUUUGCGAAUGAUCGAUAUUGGUGUACAAAAUGAUUUUGGAAACGAUUUAAGGGAAACUUAUAGUUGCUUUUGUAAAUCCAUCGAUAUACAUUAAUUAGUGUUGCAACGAGUUCAUAUUAUGGUCUUUUAGCAAAUGAGUAAGUGAUUAUUUAUAAAUCUCAGCAUUUAAGUUUUUUUAUGUUUGGAGGAAUCUCUGUACCACAUCUUCUACUGGCUGAGUUUCUUCCUCAAAGCAGCUCCACUGAAAUCACGGGUCAAGAAGCUGGGAACACAUUUAUCUAUAUUUCAGACUGGAAUCAAAAGAAGAGUAAGAUGAAGAGAUGACUAUCAGAAAAAAUCCAAGCAGAUUGAAGAAAAAAAUAUGAUAAGAGCAUAAAAAACUUCAAACUUACAAAAAGACUGCAUAAAUCGAAAAUAAACGAGUUACUUUCAACAUUAAAGUCGAUGAGGUAGAAGAAGAAUCGAAGAGAUGAGAGACUCUGAAGCGCAUACAACAAAACCUUGACCAAUGUUUUUUUUUUUCCUUUUACUCUUUAAACAUAAAUUAGUGAUAAGAACAUUUUAUGCUUCACAAAUUCUUAAUUAUCAAAUUUCAACCACUCUAAAUGACUAAUUCUGAACAAUAUUUAAAUAAUAAAUAUUAUGGCUUAACUUAUAACCAUGCCGCUUGAGACCAUUUACUAUAUCGUUAAACAAAAUUAAAGUAAAUAAAUAAUUAAUUGAAUAUAUUUACGUCUAUAAAAUUAUCAGUACAUUAUACCCCAUAUUUUUGUCAACAAAGUAUAAUAUCUAAAAACUAUGAAAUCGUUGUCAAAAAAAUAAAAUAACUAUGAAAUCGUUGUCAAAAAAAUAAAAUAAUUAUUUACUCUAUUUUACUAAUAGGUAUUAUAUACUAAAAUAUCAAGUUUCAACUAUUAUUUUCUUCUAAUUAUUCAAACUUACUUAUAUGUACAAUAAAUAUUAAAUUGUGGUUACCGUUAAGUUGAACUAAAAAGAGGUUUCUGUUAUUAGUUAUGGACAAUGGAAAAUAGCAUUUGUUUACCUUUCGGAACUUAAGAGCAUGAUUAACCUGGGCUCUUAAUUUGGGAUUCUUAACUCAUGAUUUGACAUUUUUUUUAACACUUUUCGAGUAGGAACCGGCUCUUAUAUCUCUUAAAUUGUUCUUAGUUUUUUUUAGUUAAAAGUUAAGAUACGAUUCUUAGCCGAAGCUAAGAAUCCCAUCCUAAGAGCUUGAGUUAAUCAUGGUCUUACGUGAAACGUGUCUUCCGCGACCAGUAUCUAAGAAAAACAAUAAGGCAAUGGAUACAAUCCGCCAUCAGUUUUAGCAUCUCCACAGUAAGCUCCGACCUGUUUGUUUUCUCUAUAAAUAAAAACUAGCUUCCAGGUGAAGGUUUGAUCAGCCUAAAUUUAAAGUGAUCUUAAGGUCUUGCCUCUUCUUUGGACUGUCUUCUUUCACUUGUGUGUGAAUAGAGAAUUUAACAUCAAUUCGUUACUAUAUGAGUCCAAAAGAUAUUUAAGAUAUCAAUAGAGCCUUUUACCAUAUCAACAUCAGUUCCUUCGAAGCCAGAUUAAACCAUAAUAUUUGCCUUUUACCAUAUCAACAUCAGUUCUUUCGAAACCAGAUUAAACCAUAAAAUUUGCAUACAACACAGGACACAAGUAUUAUUUAACAAAUAGAGUAAAAUAUUUGCUUCUUUUUGGUCUAUAUAACAAUCGUCCGGCAUUGCAAGUUGUUCACUACAUUCUUGCAAAACAAACAAAUCUAACAUUCUAAAAUAAUCAACAACUGGAUGCAGCUUCUUUGAAUGUUUUUUCAUCACGUGUUAUAUAAUUUACAAUAAUAAAAAUAACAAAUUUUGAAUAUAAACAAAAAUCCAAAUCUGGUAGACCAAAAAAAUUAAAAGUUUCAUUUUUAGAAAACUAUCUAAUGAUUUAUAUUUUAAUAAUAAAUGUAUAUAUACAUAAUGUUGAAAUAGUAUAAAAUAAUUAAAAUGACAGAAAUAAAAAUAAAAGUUACUGAGAAUUCCGGGCAUAGCCCGGGCCGACCCUAGUAUAUAAUAUGAUACAAUACAAAGACUGCCCCUGCUCAGAAAUAGAACCUCUCCCCACUAUUCAUAUCCACCUAUGCGAAUCUUUCAUGAUGUGUUUUUGUUAGUCUUUGAGUAAAUUAAUAAUCAGUACAGACGACAUUUGACACAAUCAAGAAGCACAAUAUUGAGAAUACUCUAACAAUUUUAUUACAUUAAGAAGUAAGAAUUAUAUUAUUAUGAUAGUUAUAUAUGAUACCAAGAAGAACAAUAUCGAGAAUACUCCAACGAGUCUGGAAGUCAGAGGAUGCUCUCUGAACUCGUGUAGGUUGUGUAGGAGUCUUCUUAUUAACAACCAGUACCAAAACUAAGUUUUUAAGAAACUAUAUAUAUACUGAAACAAGUGUUUUUAAAACCGAACAGAUCCAGUGGUCAGACCAGGUUUGACCAUGAACCGGUCAUGUAGCCGGGUUGGAUCUUAUAAUUGGUUUGAUCAUGAACCGGUCAAAUAGUCAUAUUGGAUCUCAAAGUUAUUAAACUUAAUGCAAAUUAUUAAAAUUAUCAAAAAUCUAUAAACCAACUAUUUGAACAAAAAAUAGCUUAGAUUUAUAAUAUUUUUUAUUUAGUAUUUUUUAUAUUUUAUUUAUGAAUUAUAUUUACUAAUUUUAGUUUUAAAUUUCUAUAUCUAAAAAAUGUUGAACCAGAUUAUUGAAUCAAAUUUUUCCUGGCUGAACCAUAUUGAACUGCGAUCUAAAUUAAUAUCCGGUUUAGUUUUAUUGUCUGGUUUUAAGAACAUUGACCAAAACUUUUAAGGCAGGUAGUAUACUAGUGUGGUGAAUAUUUCCGGUCUUUCACCAGCAAUUCAUACUAUUACAUCAAAAUGGGUCUAAAGGCCCAAAUAUGCGUUGUUCUUAGACUCAAAACAGCCAAGAGCAUUGCUUGCUCUUUUCAUCUUUUACCUUUUUUAACGGUGCAUACAAAUUAAAAUUACCGAGAUUCGCUGCAAAAGUGCAAAUAGAGUUUAGAUAGACAUCAAUCUUUGUUGACAAAAGAAUGUACAACAAACAAUACUUUAUGUUUCUAUCUAUGAAAGAUUUACUUCAUAUGUAUAUAAUAAUAUCGUGUUAUCAUCGUCUUUUGUGUCCUUUUAUGACUAUCCUCGAGUUUUAUUAUUUUCUCAAAACAUAUUUUAUCUUAAGCUUGACAAAAUAAAGUAAAAGACUUUACAUGUAAUUUUGACAAGUGGUGAUUCUAUUAUUUGGUAGAUUACUAAAAUAGUGGAUAUUUUAAAGAAGUAAGGAUGAAAAUUGAGUUUUUUUUUCUCAACUUCAACUUUAUAUUAACCAAAGAGUAGUACAUGAUUUCAACCGCAAGGAUUCAACCACAUUUACAAACAAAGUGAUUUAAUAUCACCCAGGAAUACAUAGAUGGAUCCUACGCUACCCGAUCUUCUACUUUGUUGUAAUUCUACCCGAUGAGAACAAGUUCCCUCCACGACCCGAAGAGAACUGUCUCUUAAACCCGUACAAUUAGACCAUACAAGUGAACGAAACAUGAAACCAAGCUUAACUAAACCUUAUCGGGAUUAAACAUUAACACCAAGCAUUGGUCUCCAAAACAUUAGAAUGCAGCACUCGGACCAGUACGUCAACACCAAACGGUGCAUCUCCCGACUCGAUUCAGUAUCAUUGAUUUCGGUUUCUCACUUCUUAGCCAGAAAAACGGCAUAUAACCGUACUGAAAGGCGGAUUUAACGAGAGCAGGACAUGGUGGGAACAGCAUCUCCUAGCUUCAAAUGGCGUGAAGCCCUACCACCGGACAUAAACACAGAGAAGCCCUACCACCGGACAUAAACACAGAGUCGCCGCCGGUGCUGGGAAAUAAGGCCCCACCGUGUACUCCCGCUAGACUCCCUGGAAGAAAAUUGAGUUUUUGUACCAUCAGUUUUGUAAUGUCAUCCUUUUUGAAGUGGUAUGAGUACUUUUAUUUUAUUUAUUUAAUUUAAUUUUUUUGCUUGAAUUUGUAUUUGCAAGUAUUUAUAUAUCUAUAUAUAUAAAAGAGUGUUUUGCUCUCUCCUUGGUGAAGAGUGUUUUGCUCUUUUCUGGUGAAGCCACGUCACUUAGUCGAUGGCUGUGAACGCUACACCUAUCAUCUUCAUAAAACGCACAGUUUCAUUUAAGUUAGGAUACAGUUAAUUUUGGGCUUUCGUGUCGGCUUAUGCUUUAUGAAUGGUAUCUAAUUUUGUCUGUUCACUUUGAAUUAGGGUUAGCCGUCAUCUUCUAUCUCUGCGAUGAAUGAGCUAGAGCAACAAUGGAGAUCAAAUCAAGUCAGCCGAAACGUCCCAUUAAUGAUACUCAUCUAACACCAAGGCGGUUUUCUUUACCUAUAAAAGGACUGGUGACUGCUCUUACACCGUCCAUGUGCGGUUGCUCCGAUUCUGGGAAGCUGAUUCUUGGUGAUUUGAAUAUUUUAUUAUCUCAUGCUCAUAGUAUUUUUUUUUUCCAGCAACCACCUUCUCAACCGUCAUGCCAGCCACCAUGAAUGUUCACCGGCUAGCCACUUACAGAGACCGUCUCCAGGCUGGUUCACCGGUGCAACCAGAACUUCAGGCUUUCAGACUUGCUUCUGACAGUCCGGUACAUUGAUAUAACCAAUCUAGAUGUGCUAAACGAACCAGAUUCUCACAUUCCUGAAGAACGUUUCUGGUUCGGUGAUCACGAUUCGCUUCUUGGCCCAGCCAACACCAACACACAUCUUCUAGACGUUAUUACUGAGCUCACUGCUAUGAGAAGUACGGUGAGUGACAUUCCUCAAGUAAAAGAGCGAGUUAUGGCGACUAUGUAGAUCGACAGUCUGUUUGACUCACAAGCGAUCUCUUUUCACAAGAAACUUGAAGGUUGUUGUUGCAAGUAGCAUAAACCCAAAGAUGGUAGGAGGACGUUUGUCACACGUGUUUUUCGACAAGGAAACUGAUGCAGAAGCUAGACAUGUCUCUUUCAUUUAAAGAUCAGUCAAAACAGAACACAUUCAGAUCUCGAUUAUUAAUCUAUAGUACAUGAAGAAGUUUCAGGUAGAUAUUUAUUUCCCUAUGUCAUCUAAUCUUAUUCAUGUUCAAAGUAUGAAGGCUGUCUCAUGAACGGAGAUGAUGGUUGUGUCAUCCUUUAGCACGUUAAACAUGACAGACAUGAUCUUUUGAAGAGAGAAAUAGAUGUGUAUCUGCUGCAGUUGUACGGCUACUGAGAUAGGACACAAGAGGAUGAAUACAAAAUAGAGAUCUGCAGUACUUUGAUGAACUAGAAGCUAGAAAUGAUGUGUAGCCUUCUCCCAAACUGGAAACAUCAACAAACUACCUUGGUCUAAAUAUAAAAAGUCUUAACAGCAAGUAGGGUCUAAUCAUAUUUACUAAUAUAUAAGCCCAUAUGUAGAAAAAUAAUACGAGUGUACACAAUGAUUUGGUCUAUGUGUUAUUGUAUAUAGUAUUCUAGACUACGAUUCUUCUUUAAUCUU